CUGCAGUGGUUUAAAAACGGAUUGGAAAUAUUUCCCUGAAAGAAAACUACAUAAUAUUAUUAUAAAGUAAUUUUUUCGGUAUUUUUUCUCUCUCGUAAUCGGGUUUGUGUUUUCGGUUACCUCGGGGAGGAAAAUAGUCGUUAUCAAGACGAAUAUUAAUUAUUCUUUUUUUUUUUUUUUUACGAUCGUUCUGCGAGUCAUGCGGCCCGAUCUGCACCUAUAUGGACAAAAUCGGUAAAUCCUCGUCGGUUUUGAACAAAAUCCCUACGAACAUAAUUUUUUUUUCCCCGAACUACGCGUUAUUAAUACCGACGGUGGUACACGGAAAUAAGAUUAAUGGACCGAAAUGGUGUAUGUAUGUGUGGGGGUUUGGGGGGUAGGGUUAAUACAAAUACCGUCUUCUUAGGGAACGGACAUUAUUCGACGACGAC